CACACUGGGACUGAGACACGGCCCAGACUCCUACGGGAGGCAGCAGUGGGGAAUAUUGCGCAAUGGGCGAAAGCCUGACGCAGCAACGCCGCGUGGAGGAUGAAGGCUCUAGGGUUGUAAACUCCUUUCAGCAGGGAAGAACAUGACGGUACCUGCAUAAGAAGCCCCGGCUAACUACGUGCCAGCCGCCGCCGUAACAC
rnacentral:rRNA from 1 species